rnacentral:misc_RNA from 1 species
CUGUGGGCAAGGACCUUAUAAUGGGAUUGGAUUAUGCACAGUAAUAUCAAACUUGUGUCCCAACAGAGACAUCUAUGCCUUUUGGGAUGCAUUCCACCCAUCAGAGAGGGCCAAUAGAAUCAUUGUUCAACAAAUGUUGAGGGGCACCACCAAAUAUAUGCACCCAAUGAAUCUCAGCACCAUCAUGCUUUUGGAUUCUAGGACCUAAUUACCAAUUACAUGAAGUCUUUCUAUUAAACCAUGUCAUGGACAAUAUUAUUCUUUAUUAUGCAUGGUCCAUAUUAUUAAGUUGGUGGGUUUUUUAUAUUUUCUUUUUUUUUUUUAGUGUGUUUAAUUUUCACUGGGCGAUUAUGUCUAUCAAAUUUCAUGUUGGCUACAUGGGUAAGCAUUGGCUAAAAUCUGUCUCUCUUCAAUAAAUUUUACACUAUGUAAUAGUGGAUUGUUGUUCCUGUCUCAAUGUUUUCUUUGUCUUUUCUUUACACAUGUGCAACAUUAAUU